ACCACCGAGCACCAUCUUUCACAAUCAUCACCUUCCUCAGUCAAAUCCAACUCGAAACCACCAGAUUAGUCAUUCGGGUGACCUGGGAAUCACAGAGAUGGCUCUGCAUGUUCCGUCUGAUACCUGGAUGUGGGGGCUGAUCGGGGCAGCUCUACGUUUUUCCGGCGAAGUUCGACUAAAGAACGGCGUUUCAGUCGUUGAUUUUACCUGAGAAUCAUUUCUAUUCGACCGCGGGUAUUUUUCAUAGGUUUUGGACUCGAAUCCGAGAUUAUAACUCCUGUAGUCUUUCUGUUCCUCACCCCAGGUUCAGGUGCGGAGCUCCGGCGAGAAAUCCAACGAGCUUGGGGUUCCAUGAGCUCAAAUUGGUUCCGUUUGAAACUCAGGUAACCAAACCAUGCUCUGCAUGUUAAUUUCAAGUUCGAAUUGAGGGUUUUAGUCAUUAUUUCGUCUCUGUUCUUCAUUCCCUAGAAUCCGGCAAGGAAAAUCCGGCGAGUUCAUGUUGAAUCUGAGGUGAAUUCAACGUCUUCUUUUCCUAAAAAGGUUGUAGUUUCCGGCGAAGUUCUGGCGAAGCUCCAGCAACGGUGACGACCACCGGCGGAGGCUAAUAUUCCGUUAACUUUAACGGAAUCUCGUACGGAAGGUACGUUGGUGGGAAGUGGUACCAUCCUCGCUAGUUGAGCGACUCCUUGGCAAUCAAAUAUAUGUCGAUCUGUUAUACUAAGGUGCGUACAUGGCAUUGCAAUCCUUUAUCAAGAUGUCUAGAAAACAACAGAAGUCACAGUCUUGCUUCACAAUCUGAAUGGUAAGUCAAUGAUAUAUCUAGAUUAAGCUUCAGAUCGAUAUGUAGUCUGUAACAUGAAAACAUUUAAGUUGAGUCUCGUUUGAUCGAUAUGUGGUAAGUCAAUGAUACGAAUACGUUUAAAUUACAUUUACAUCCUAUAGAACGCGUUCAUACUCCUGAAGCAUAUCCAAAAUCUAAUAAUAACAUGUACGGUACUAACUUCUUGCCUCAAGAAGUCGUCACAUUAUAGUAUAGAGUUGAAAUAUCACCAUGGCCAAAAUGUAGGGAGGAAUCGUGAUCUAGGAACAUAUGAUUAGAGGACAAUACUCCCCCUCAGUUUGGAAGUACAUCAAGAGAUUCAGGACGCGGGAAUAUUUGUGCUUUUGGAUAAUUAACAGUUUAAAAAAGGAGCGAUCCCAAGCCAACAA